CAGUCGACGCGUUGGCCCAAUUGAUUGAUGGUGCUUGCACCUGAUUGAUUUUGGUCGCCAACGAGUGGCGGACGGGUGAGUAACACGUAGGUAACCUGCCCAGAAGCGGGGGACAACAUUUGGAAACAGAUGCUAAUACCGCAUAACAACGUUGUUCGCAUGAACAACGCUUAAAAGAUGGCUUCUCGCUAUCACUUCUGGAUGGACCUGCGGUGCAUUAGCUUGUUGGUGGGGUAACGGCCUACCAAGGCGAUGAUGCAUAGCCGAGUUGAGAGACUGAUCGGCCACAAUGGGACUGAGACACGGCCCAUACUCCUACGGGAGGCAGCAGUAGGGAAUCUUCCACAAUGGGCGCAAGCCUGAUGGAGCAACACCGCGUGAGUGAAGAAGGGUUUCGGCUCGUAAAGCUCUGUUGUUAAAGAAGAACACGUAUGAGAGUAACUGUUCAUACGUUGACGGUAUUUAACCAGAAAGUCACGGCUAACUACGUGCCAGCAGCCGCGGUAAUACGUAGGUGGCAAGCGUUAUCCGGAUUUAUUGGGCGUAAAGAGAGUGCAGGCGGUUUUCUAAGUCUGAUGUGAAAGCCUUCGGCUUAACCGGAGAAGUGCAU
rnacentral:rRNA from 1 species